GGUGGGGUGGCAGAACGGCAAUGCGCUGGUCUCGAAAACCGGUGGCUUCACAGCCUUGUGGGUUCGAAUCCCACCCCCACCGCCA
rnacentral:tRNA from 1 species